rnacentral:sRNA from 1 species
ACCAAAAUAAUGUGGUGCAAAGUUAAUGAUUUUUCAUAUUGUUGUUUUUAUGCAUGCAACAACGAUUAAAGAUAUAACACAAAGAAAUCAGUUACAUACUGUAAGCAUUUUUAAAGAGAGUAAAUUAUUAACAAAACUACCCUUGGUUUAACAAACAGCUGCUAUUUCUGUGUGUAUCUCCACGCAGCAGUAUUUUCAUCAUUCAGUGUUUUUAUAUUAUACUGUAUUUGUGCUUAUUAUAUUAUAUAUAAGGCACAUACAAUUUGUACAUGUAUGAACUAUUUUAAGGUACCUCACUACAUUAAGACUUAUACUCUUUAUGACACUACGUCACAAGAAAUUUUUUUACUAAAUUGUUUGUAUCAUUUGAUUUCUUUACAUAUCUUCAUAGAUUAGUGGUUACACUAUCAGGCUUGUAUUAAACAGUAGAUUUUGAGUUUGAACCUGUCUGGGGCUUUUGUUCAUAUUUACUGAAUUAACUUUUUAAAAAUUAUUAUUUUUUUUAUCCCAAAAGUGCAGAAUUUUUUCACCUAUUUCACUUGUAUACAUUUUAGGCAUCAUGCUAUCUAUCAUAAUCAAGUAACUUGAGCUAUUCUAUGAGACUCUACAAGGUGUAUUGGGCCACCUCAAGCAGAUGCCUAAAUGAUCUGACUUAAUUAUCAGCCAUUGGUCCUAUAAUUGUCAGUCUCCCAGUUACUGUCCCAAGCUUUAUAUACUGAAUAUUUGUCCCAGUGACUACUGGACUCACGACUGUUAUAAUUUACAUGUACUGUACUAGUGUGUCAUUUGUGAUCACAUCUUGCCAUAGCUUUACUGAUGAUGCAUUUGUUAGAUUGUGCUUGAUUCAUCCUCAUUCAUUAUUUGGACUGUCAUUUUAACAAUAAAAGAAU